rfam:Taenia asiatica genome assembly, scaffold: TASK_contig0002690
GUCGCUUCUCGGUUCUCUGAGCUAAGAUCAAGUGUAUUAUCUGUUCUUUGCAGUGUGAUUUUCCGCAAUGGUCCCCAAUUUGGGACCAACAAAAUUGGCUGUAUUUUUCCAGUCAGGACGGGUGCUGCGAGCCUGCUCAAUCCAGUCUACGGGUCGGCCUUGUAUUGCAUUACCUCGAGGAUUGGCCCAUUAAUG